GCCGAGGUGGCGAAAUGGCAGACGCGCAACGUUGAGGUCGUUGUGCCGCAAGGCAUAUGGGUUCAAGUCCCAUUCUCGGCA
rnacentral:tRNA from 1 species